rnacentral:rRNA from 1 species
CCUACGGGCGGCAGCAGUGAGGAAUAUUGGUCAAUGGACGCAAGUCUGAACCAGCCAAGUAGCGUGCAGGAUGACGGCCCUCCGGGUUGUAAACUGCUUUUAGUUGGGAAUAAAAUGGGGCUCGUAUGCCUCGUAUUGUAUGUAUCAUCAGAAAAAGUACCGUCUCAUUCCGUCCCAGCAGCCGCGGUAAUACGGAAGGUCCGGGCGUUAUCCGUAUUUAUUGGGUUGAAAGGGAGCGUAGGCGGGCUUUUAAGACAGCUGUGAAAGUCCGCGGCUCAACCGUGGAAUUGCAGUUGAAACUGGCAGCCUUGAGUGCAGACAGGGAUGCCGGAAUUCAUGGUGUAGCGGUGAAAUGCUUAGAUAUCAGGAAGAACUCCGAUUGCGAAGGCAAGUGUCCGGGGUGCAACUGACGCUGAGGCUCGAAAGUGUGGGUAUCAAACAGGAUUAGAUACCCGAGUAGUC